GGGGUCUUAGCUCAGCUGGGAGAGCGCCUGCUUUGCACGCAGGAGGUCAGGGGUUCGAUCCCCCUAGACUCCACCU
rnacentral:tRNA from 1 species